rnacentral:rRNA from 1 species
GUCGUGACUGCGUGCCUUUUGAAGAAUGAGCCUGCGAGUUUGCGGUAUGUUGCGAGGUUAACCCGUGUGGGGAAGCCGUAGCGAAAGCGAGUCCGAAGAGGGCGUUUGAGUAGCGUGCCCAAGACCCGAAGCGGAGUGAUCUAGCCAUGGGCAGGUUGAAGCGGAGGUAAGACUUCGUGGAGGACCGAACCCACCAGGGUUGAAAACCUGGGGGAUGACCUGUGGUUAGGGGUGAAAGGCCAAUCAAACUCCGUGAUAGCUGGUUCUCCCCGAAAUGCAUUUAGGUGCAGCGUCGUGUGUUUCUUGCCGGAGGUAGAGCACUGGAUAGGCGAUGGGCCCUACCGGGUUACUGACCUUAGCCAAACUCCGAAUGCCGGUAAGUGAGAGCGCGGCAGUGAGACUGUGGGGGAUAAGCUCCAUGGUCGAGAGGGAAACAGCCCAGAGCAUCGACUAAGGCCCCUAAGCGUGUGCUAAGUGGGAAAGGAUGUGGAGUCGCAGAGACAACCAGGAGGUUGGCUUAGAAGCAGCCAUCCUUGAAAGAGUGCGUAAUAGCUCACUGGUCAAGUGAUUCCGCGCCGACAAUGUAGCGGGGCUCAAGCACACCGCCGAAGUCAUGUCA